rnacentral:rRNA from 1 species
AUUGAACGCUGGCGGCAGGCCUAACACAUGCAAGUCGAGCGAGUGGCGGACGGGUGAGUAAUGUCUGGGAAACUGCCUGAUGGAGGGGGAUAACUACUGGAAACGGUAGCUAAUAACGCAUACCAUCAGAUGUGCCCAGAUGGGAUGGGCUAGUAGGUGGGGUAACGGCUCACCUGGGCGACGAUCCCUAGCUGGUCUGAGAGGAUGACCAGCCACACGGGACUUCAUACACGGCCCAUACUCUUACGGGAGGCAGCAGUGGGAACUAUUGCCCAAGGGGCGCAAGCCUGAUGCAGCCAUGCCGCGUGUAUGAAGAAGGCCUUCGGGUUUUAAAGUACUUUCAGCGGGGAGGCGUUACCCGCAGAAGAAGCCCCGGCUAACUCCGUGCCAGCAGCCGCGGUAAUAC